rnacentral:rRNA from 1 species
ACACGACUACAUUAGAUACCCCCGUAGUCCUAGCCGUAAACGAUACUCGCUAGGUGUCGGCCACGGUGCGACCGUUGUCGGUGCCGUAGGGAAGCCGUGAAGCGAGCCACCUGGGAAGUACGGCCGCAAGGCUGAAACUUAAAGGAAUUGGCGGGGGAGCACCACAACGGGUGGAGCUUGCGGUUUAAUUGGAUUCAACGCCGGAAAUCUUACCGGGACCGACAGCAACAUGAAGGCCAGGCUGAAGACUUUGCCGGGUUAGCUG